AGCAUGAAGUCCAUGAGGACCGCCAGCGCGGCGUACAGGGCGAACGACCUGACCGCUGGCAUCGUGCUCAGAGCACCUGAAGACACAAGAAAGAGAGAAGAAAUCGACUUUAGGGUAAAUCUGUGAUAUAGUAGGAACCGUGUUCAAUGAGAAACAUGAGGACGUCUGUCUAUGUGUCGACGACGUGGCGAUCCACAUCUCGUACUCACCCAUGAAGAAGCAGAUGGACUCGGAGAGGCUGCAGAGGAGCAUGCUGGGAGCCACGUUCCCCAGGACGCGACCGAUCUGCUUCUGUCUCGACUCGCCCACCUGCCGCGUGUCCCUCUAGAAAUGACAUACAAUAAGAUCACAUGGAGACAGAGUCCUACCUGAUACUCCAAGACAAGGAUGAAGAUGUUGUCGGCGCCCACGGCCAGCACCAGGAAGGGCACCACCUGCAGGAUGACCAGGGAGGAGGGGAUGCCGAUCCAGGCGUAGAAGCCCAUGGAGGCCAGCACGGAGCAGCCCACCACCAGGAUCCCGCCCAGGCCCACCAGCAGCCUAGAGUCCACCUGGAGAAGGGGGAAAGAGAAAGGGUGAGAGACCGAGAGGGAGAGAAGGGGGGAUUUCCCGUUUGAAAUGUCCCACCCUCCUUUAAACACACACACACACACACACACACGCACACACACACUCAGACACAAAGACGACUCUGCCCCAAAUCUGGCCUAGGUGUGGCCCUGAUCUGGCCCUGCAUACCUCUGACUCACUCACCAGUAUGCGUUUGCAUGAGGAGUAAUCCCCCAGGGCCAGAGCGAUGUAGAGGAAGAUGACGCCAUAGCUGAUCAUGAAGAUGGGGAUGUCCUCCGCUGUGGUCCUGUUGAUCUCGUCCUCCAGGGACCUCUGAGGGAAAACAAGCCAGGAAGGGGAAUACCGGGCCUCCGUAGUCUGCCAUACAGCUCAUCCCCAAAGCAGUGAUGUCUUUGAAGGACAAGGGAGAGCUGGAUUUGGGAAAAUUAUUGAUUAAUUAAUGUUACAUGAAUGUCCAGCACCUCAACAAUAGAUUUGAUAAGUGUUGUUGACAUUUGACGUUUUUUGAUGGAAUGUGUUUUUAUUUCUAUUUGAUACAGUACAGUACAUUGUUUUAAUUGUAGCUCUAAAUAUUUUGCAUUGCAUAUCAUAUGUGCCAUAGAUCCACCCUCCUGUUAACGUACUUCACGC